rnacentral:rRNA from 1 species
UACAGAGGGGGCAAGCGUUGUUCGGAAUUACUGGGCGUAAAGGGCGCGUAGGCGGCCUUCUAAGUCGAACGUGAAAUCCCCGGGCUCAACCCGGGAACUGCGUCCGAUACUGGAAGGCUUGAAUCCGGGAGAGGGAUGUGGAAUUCCAGGUGUAGCGGUGAAAUGCUUAGAUAUCGGGUGGAACACCAGUGGCGAAGGCGCUGCUCUGGGCCGGUACUGACGCUGAGGAGCGAAAGCGUGGGUAGCAAACAGG